AAAGGUGGAGGGCUCGGCUCUUCUUGCCGAUGAAGGACGUGGCAAGCUGCGAAAAGUCUUGGCGAGCCGCACGCGGGCUUUGAACCAAGAAUUUCCUAAUAGGACUUCCUCUAGAGCCAGUAAUGGCGGGGAACUCAGGGAAUUGAAACGUCUUAGUACCUGAAGGAGAAGAAAUCAAUUGAGAUGCCGUGAGUAGGAGCGACCCAAAACGGCGUAAGGCAAACCGAAUCCGUGAGCGACAAGUUUUCGGAGAUGUGGUGUUCGGACCGUCUUUAGAGCCUAGCAUCGUGACGUGAAGACUCCUGGAAAGGAGCGGGUUACAGGGUGAUACCCCCGUAAUGGUAGCGAUGAAGGUUUUGACGAGUUCCAGAGUACCAUCCCUUGGAGAUGGGGUGGGAAUGUGGGAGCCAUCAACUUCCAACCUUAAAUACGUGAAGAGUCCGAUAGUGUACUAGUACCGUGAGGGAAAGUUGAAAAGAUCCCGUGAUAGGGAGUGAAAAGAUUCUGAAACCUUUCAAGUUUGGUAGGAUAGGGCGCUUCGGCGUUCUGUCGUCCGUUUCGAAAAACGUGCCAGGGAGUGCUUUUUUGUGGCGAGAGUAAGAGUGUUAAGCUCGUACUCGUGGCGAAAGCGAUAUGCCCGCAGCUUCGGCGAGGGGCAGAGUACUAAUCUGCUUGGAGUCACAAGGUAGCGACCCGAAACCAGUCGAGCUAUACGUGGGCAAGGUGAAGUGAGGGUAAAACCUCGUGGAGGCCUGCAGGGGUUCUAGGCGCAUCUGUUCCUCUGACUUGCGUAUAGGGGUGAAAAGCCAAUCGAGACUGGUGAUAGCUGGUUCCCAUCGAAUUCGGCCUUAGUCGAGCCUCGGGCGAGAUUGUGUUCAUUGUAGAGAUACGGAUUGAGAAUUCAGGACUCGCAAGGGUUCGGUUCUUUGUCCAACUCCGAAUGUGAACACUUCGUAGACCUCGGGAGACGGGAUACCCCGGCGUAAAGUUGGUAUCCGAGAGGGGAACAACCCAGACGAGAGUUAAGGCCCCAAAAUGUUGGUUCAGUGUGAAAGGGUGAAGGUCGUUCGUAACCGAAUACAGCGGGGAGGUUGGCUUAGAAGCAGCCAUCCUUCAAAAAGUGCGUAACAGCUUACCCGUCUAGGUUACGAGUACCUAAAAUGGACGGGGCUUACACCAACUGCCGAUACUCUCGGCGAGUCGAAAAUUCGUGAUAGAUGGGCGUGCCGCUUGGGCAGAAAAGAAUUCGUGAGAAUUCUUGGACCGCGCGGCAAUGAGAAUCCUGGUGGUAGUAGGAUCAUAGACAUGUGAGAAUCAUGUCCACCGAAAGGGCAAGGGUUUCUUUGACAAUGUAGAUCAGUCAAGAGUUAGUCGGUCCUAACUGAGCUCCUAAUUGGAGUGUGUGAGGAAAGGGCAACAGGUUAAUAUUCCUGUACUGCUAACGUAUGUGCGGUAACGCAAGACGUUCUUCCGACUUUUCUGGCUAUGCAAGCCAAUAUUGUUGUAUUGGUGAACAAGUAUACAUCUGAGGAGUAACGUAAUGUUGAGAAUCAGUUGAAUCUUGGAACAGCACUCUUAUGGGGUGUCUUGCAGAUUGCCUGGAAACCGUGAAAAGGGAGAAUGUAUAAAUCGUUGGUAUCCGUACCCAGAACCAACACUGGUGCCCCUUGGUGAGAAGCCUAAGGUGUGAAGGUAGUAACCUGGUUGAGGGAACUCGGCAAAAUAGCUCCGUGCCUUUGGUAUAAGGAGUCCCUGCUGUUGUACGCUUGUCGUGCGAUUGCAGGGCGCAGUGGCAAGGGAGACCCGACUGUUUAACAAAAACGUAACUGGCUGCUAAGCUGUAAAGCCUUGUAUAGCCGGUGACGUCUGCCCAGUGCCAGUAUCUCAAAACUCUUUUCAAGGAGUCUAAGGACUGGUAAACGGCGGAAGUAACUAUAACUUUCUUAAGGUUGCAUUCAUUGUUGCCUUAAUAAAAGUCGGCCAUUUGCUGGAACGUCUGAGUAUCCCAUUCUACUCUUCUUUCUCGGUAACGAGGAAGUUUUUGUAAUAAUGAAUGGGUGCAGAUAAUCAGCAGGAAAGAUUUCUCUUUUGAAAGAUUGUUUUGAAAGAUUGAGAAGUAUCCUCAGAGACUAUACGCCGACGCCUCCGUAGCGAAUUUAUAGGAGGUAAGAUAUAGUCCGACCAUUACAGCGAUGUAAUGAUACAUUCAGAAAUGGAUGUACGCCAACUUUUUUUUGUUGGUAUGUAGUUCCUUCGGGAAUGAAAGUAACACUCGUGAGCGAAAUGCCUUGUCGUUUGAUUGGCGACGUGCAUGAAGGGCGUAACGAGGUCUCUACUGUCCCCAACCGGACGCCUCCGAACACAUUAUUCUGGUGCAAAGGCCAGAGAUUUCCAGUGGGAAGUGAAGACCCCGUGAAACUUUACUGUAGUCUGUAGCUGUAGCGCGGGACUUGUUGUAUAGCGUAAGUGGGAGCUGUCUGAUGGCAGUGUCGUCAGGCACUGUUUAAGCAUCGAUGUAACACCACUCUUCGAGUUCUGCGUUGCUCACUAAAUUAAUUUUUAGGACACCUAUUGAUGGACAGUUCAGCUGGGGUGGCAUCCUGCUGAAAGGAUAUCAGCAGGGCCCUAUGGUUUGCUCAGCUCGGUCAGAAAUCGAGCGUUGAGUGCAAAGGCAUAAGCAAGCCUGAUUGGAUUCUAACCACAACAGUUUCCAAACACGAAAGUGUGGCUUAGCGAACCUCUAUGCCUCCUUGGUGGGGGCUAGGGAUGACUGAAAAGUUACUCCGGGGGUAACAGAGUUGUCUCGCCUGAGAGUUCAUAUCGACGGCGAGGCUUGCUCCAUCGACGUCGGCUCUUCCUAUCCUGGGCGGGCAGUACCGUCCAAGGGUGAGGGAGUUCACCUAUUAAAAGGGAUGUUAGCUGGGUUCACAACGCUGUGAGGCAGUUGGUAUACCAUCUGCUGGAAAUGCUCGCAAUCUGAGAGGAAGGACGACAUAGUACGAAAGGAACUGUCGUUCGGCGCCACUGGUGUACCGGUUAUCCCACAGGGUAUCAUGCCGGGCAGCUACGCGCUAGGGGAUAAGCUCUGAAAGCAUCUAAGAGCGAAACCCCCCUCGAAAAGAGAUUGUAGGAAUCAUCGUAGAAGACGAUGUUGAUAGAAGUGUGGUGUAA
rnacentral:rRNA from 1 species